rnacentral:rRNA from 1 species
UUCGGCCCUCGGCGUACUGCUCAGUAACACGUGGAUAACCUGCCCUAGGGAAGGGGAUAAUCCCGGGAAACUGGGGAUAAUACCCUAUAGGUUACAGAUGCUGGAAUGCUCUGCAAUCAAAAGUUCCGGCGCCCUAGGAUGGAUCUGCGGCCGAUUAGGUUGUUGUUGGGGUAAUGGCCCAACAAGCCAGUAAUCGGUACGGGUUGUGGGAGCAAGAGCCCGGAGUUGGAUUCUGAGACACGAAUCCAGGCCCUACGGGGCGCAGCAGGCGCGAAAACUUUACAAUGCGGGCAACCGUGAUAAGGGAACCUCGAGUGCCUGUAAAUGCAGGCUGUUCAGAUGCCUAAAACACAUCUGGAGAAAGGGCCGGGCAAGACCGGUGCCAGCCGCCGCGGUAAUACCGGCGGCUCGAGUGGUGGCCACUUUUAUUGGGCUUAAAGCGUUCGUAGCUGGGUUGUUAAGUCUCUUGGGAAAUCUGGCGGCUUAACCGUCAGGCGUCUAAGGGAUACUGGCAAUCUUGGAACCGGGAGAGGUGAGGGGUACUUCGGGGGUAGGAGUGAAAUCCUGUAAUCCUCGAGGGACCACCUGUGGCGAAGGCGCCUCACCAGAACGGCUUCGACAGUGAGGGACGAAAGCUGGGGGAGCAAACCGGAUUAGAUACCCGGGUAGUCCCAGCCGUAAACUAUGCGCGUUAGGUGUAUCGGUGACCACGAGUUACCGAGGUGCCGAAGGGAAACCGUGAAACGUGCCGCCUGGGAAGUACGGUCGCAAGGCUGAAACUUAAAGGAAUUGGCGGGGGAGCA